rnacentral:ncRNA from 1 species
GUGCCCAACUGCUGUUGGGGUAAAAGGGAAUCGGGUGAAACUCCCGAGCGAUCCGGUCACUGUAAACGGGGAGCAAGCUGCAGAUACCAUUGCCGUGCAGACAAUGCGCGGUGAGAAGGUGCAGCGCGCGUCGAGCCGUAAGCCAGGAAACCUGCUUGAUCA